rnacentral:pre_miRNA from 1 species
UCUCGUGGCUAGCACUCCCGCUGUGACUUGUGUCGCGCUCACAUCACAGUCAGAGUUCUAGCUGCGUGG